AUUGAACGCUGGCGGCAGGCCUAACACAUGCAAGUCGAGCGGUAACAGAGAGGUGCUUGCACCUUCGCUGACGAGCGGCGGACGGGUGAGUAAUGCUUGGGAACAUGCCUUGAGGUGGGGGACAACAGUUGGAAACGACUGCUAAUACCGCAUAAUGUCUACGGACCAAAGGGGGCUUCGGCUCUCGCCUUUAGAUUGGCCCAAGUGGGAUUAGCUAGUUGGUGGGGUAAAGGCCUACCAAGGCAACGAUCUCUAGCUGGUCUGAGAGGAUGAUCAGCCACACUGGGACUGAGACACGGCCCAG
rnacentral:rRNA from 1 species